AGGAAAACCAGGGUUUUUGGAGAGUCUAUUAUCUUUUCAAAUCUCAUGACUUUAUUAGAUAAAGAACCAAUGAGCUUGGUGAUUAAUAAUAACUUUACGGAUCGCAUCUCUGAUGCGACAUAUCAUUCAAGUUUCUGACCUAUCAGCUUUAGACGGUAGGGUAUUGGCCUACCGUGGCUAUGACGGGUAACGGGGAAUUAGGGUUCGAAUCCGGAGAGGGAGCCUGAGAAACGGCUACCACAUCUAAGGAAGGCAGCAGGCGCGCAAAUUACCCAAUCCUGACACAGGGAGGUAGUGACAAGAAAUAACAAUACAGGGCCUAACGGUCUUGUAAUUGGAAUGAGUGAAGUAUAAACCCCUUUACGAGUAUCAAUUGGAGGGCAAGUCUGGUGCCAGCAGCCGCGGUAAUUCCAGCUUCAAUAGCGUAUAUUAAAGUUGUUGCAGUUAAAAAGCUCGUAGUUGGAUUUCUGUUGUAUAAUUUUAUAAUAUUACCAAGGUAAUUAUUAUAUUAUCAACAUCCUUCCUAUUAUAUUCUAAAUAUAUAGGAAAUUUUACUUUGAGAAAAUUAGAGUGCUUAAAGCAGGCAACUGCGUUGAAUACUCCAGCAUGGAAUAAUAAGUAAGGACUUUUGUCUUUCUUAUUGGUUCUAGGACAAAAGUAAUGGUUAAUAGGGACAGUUGGGGGCAUUCGUAUUUAACAGCCAGAGGUGAAAUUCUUAGAUUUGUUAAAGACGAACUACUGCGAAAGCAUUUGCCAAGGAUGUUUUCAUUAAUCAAGAACGAAAGUUAGGGGAUCGAAGAAGAUCAGAUACCGUCGUAGUCUUAACCAUAAACUAUGCCGACUAGAGAUUGGAGGUUGUUCCUUACUCCUUCAGAAUCUAUUUUUGUAGGUUUCAAAGGACCCACAGAAUGAUUAAAAC
rnacentral:rRNA from 1 species